rnacentral:rRNA from 1 species
AUGUCAUCUGCUUCGUAUCCAGAUAAAUGUAGAUCUGAAGCACUUAGUGUGACACGCAAAGGAUCAAUGGCAGGGAAGUCAGAAGCAAAGCAUGACAAGUCCAGCACAGAUAACCCUGGGAUUACCAUCAGCUGAUCUUUUGUUUCUAAAGCCAUAGCCACCGGUUCAUCAAAAGAUUUCGAGUUCUCGCUUAACUGA